rnacentral:rRNA from 1 species
UGGCUAACUCCUACGGGAGGCAGCAGUGGGGAAUUUUGGGCAAUGGGGGCAACCCUGAUCCAGCAAUGCCGCGUGAGUGAAGAAGGCCUUCGGGUUGUAAAGCUCUUUUGUCAGGGAAGAAACGGUAGUAGCUAAUAUCCAUUACUAAUGACGGUACCUGAAGAAUAUUCACCGGCUAACUACGUGCCAGCAGCCGCGGUAAUACGUAGGGUGCAAGCGUUAAUCGGAAUUACUGGGCGUAAAGCGUGCGCAGGAGGUUGUGUAAGUCAGAUGUGAAAUCCCCGGGCUCAACCUGGGAAUUGCAUUUGAGACUGCACGGCUAGAGUGUGUCAGAGGGGUGUAGAAUUCCUCGUGUAGCAGUGAAAUGCGUAGAUAUGUGGCGGAAUACCGAUGGCGAAGGCAGCCCCCUGGGAUAACACUGACGCUCAUGCCCGAAAGCGUGGGGAGCAAACAGGAUUAGAUACCCCUGUAGUCCAGCUGG